UCGCAUGUCAUUUGAUCACAAAAACUUACAAGCACCUUGUGCACCCAAGCCUCUUUGAUGCCAAAAAAAUUCAUAUUUUUUUUAUUUUUCUUGCUGUUUUAUUUCAAAUUUACUGUUCACAAGCGUGCAUACUAACUGUUUUUCCUCGCCACAAGCUCCUGGAAUAUCCAAAUAGCACGAAAAUUUGCACGCACCUUGCGCACAUGAGUAUCUUCGAUCUCACAAAACUUUAGAUUUUUUUAAAUUUUUUUGCUAUUUUUUCAGGACGGUCAAAGUUGUUUGACCAGACGGUAAGGGCGCAGAAGGUCAUUUCUGUAAGGGCACCUCACGGCGGAGGGGCAAAUUUGAGCAGGCUUUUGAAUUAGGGGUAUAUCUAAUUAGGUGGUUCGAGUUAGGGACAGAAAUGCAAAUGGCCCUUUCAUUUAUAUCGAGGUGAUACAACCAAAAAAAUGUCCGUUCUCUGCAUAGCACGAUAAACACGUUCAACACAACCAAAAAUAUUUACAGUAAUAACUAAAAUUUCAGCCUAAGGUGGGGGUAGAUCCUAUGUGAAGAUUACACCGCCAUUUAUGAAGAGAGAAAACCUCUGUGGCCACAUGCUUCAGCCAUCAUAAAAAAGGUCUUUGUCCUUCGGCCUCCGCAGGAUAUACCAAGUACGAAGCCAUCACGUACAUGCAUGAAUUACCUCCACAGGAAAUGAAACACAUUUAUUAUUGAAAACCACAAUUCCUGAUAAGUCACAAUCACUACCAGAAAAAACCCUAUAGGCAACCACUAGUGGCGCGGGGACGCAGGGUGAGCUCCUACUUACUUGUAGCGUGGGGUAUAAACUCUGAACUGCUACUAAGUUGUUAGUAGUAGCGCGGGUUAUAAAUCCGCGCUGCUACUAACUGGUUCCCACCGUGCAUCCCGGGACAUACCAUAGUAGUAGCGCGGGGUAUAAACCUCAUGAUCCUACUAAGUUGAUAGUAGUAGUUAAGUGGUCCCCUCGUGCCACCCAGGACAUGUCAUGGUAGUGGCAGAGGGUAUAAACCCCAGGCUACUAUUAUCGACCUACCAACACAUGUGUACACAUAGCGCGUGAAGGCCCAAAACCCAAACUCACACUCUCCCGAUUCCCCUUCUCCCUCCCACCAGCGAUUCCCUUCCUCACCCAUUGUCGACCUAGCACCUCGGCGCCUCCCCCAAAUCCGGGCGACCUCCUCUCCCAUCGCAACCCCCCUCCCUUCCACCUUCCUCCUCCUUCUUUGCUGCUAGAAGGAGAGGGAGAUCCAAUAUUGCAUCGUCCAUGGUGGCGGCCAGAUCUGCCAUGGACGCAACCACUUGCACCUCCUCGCCGGGAUAGGGCCUUGUGAGGACAUGCAGACGCCAUUGUCAAGGGUCCCACGACAAGCAGCAACAUGUCACUAGGCGUUGACUCCGACUCCAGCGGCCACUGCAACAAUAGAGGAUAGGAGCGGGGACGAGUUGGGUGGCAAAGCACCAUCACCAUGGAUGAUUUCAUCCCCUCUAGGGCCAGCAUCUACCAUGGAUGGAGAGGAUGAUGAUGCCCAACAGUAGCAUCCAUGGAUGGAGAGGAUGAUGACGCCCAACGGCAGCAUCCAUGGAUGGAGAGGAUGAUGAGCCCAACAGCAGCAUCCAUGGAUGGAAUUUAUUUUUUAAUUCCUAAUUAGUUAGUAGUAGCGCGGGUGGCAACCGCGCUCCUGCUAACUAGUUAGCUGCAGCGCGACCCGUGCCACUUCUAGACCUUUACCCCGCGCUACUACUAACUAGUUAGCUGCAGCGUGACUCACGCUAUUGCUAGGCCUUUACCCCACGCUACUACUAACUAGUUAGCUGUAGCGUGACCCAUGCUACUACUAGGCCUUUACCCUGCGCCACUACUAGGUUUUUCCCUAGUAGUGAAUGCCCAACAUAAGGCAACAACCCCAACAAGAAUAUGUGCACAAAAUUGUCUGUUGAUACCCCACAAUCAGUUGCCAAACAUAUUAUGUGCACUAUGUGGGGGUAAAGAUUUGAAGCUACGUGAACUAUUGAACUAUGGCCCACACUCUGAACGAGCAAACUUACACUCAAAAGGUGUUUAAUAGACUCAUCAUGUUGACAAAACACACAUUUCUUGCUACAUUGCCAAUUGCGGCAUGACAGGUUAUCUCUAAUUAUGAUCACACCUCUGCUUAGAAAUCAGAGGAAUAUCUUCACUCGAAGAGGAGUUUUGAGCUUCCAUAAUUUAUUGUUAUCAACUGGAACGACGGUGUGGACAAUCGUGUCGUACUAGGACUUCACCGGAAUCCUUUUUUUUGCGAUACAAUACAAUCAAACUAACCAAAAUCAUGUAGGAUCAAGAUGAUGAUCAUGACAUUUCAAUCCUUUGUUUUUUUCUAUUCGCGCUUUUUCUAGAAUCCUGUGAAAAAAACAUGCCCUAAAUCAUACUACAUCCAUACAGCAAUAUUUCUCUCCCGCUAGGCCACCAGACGUCAUGUCAUCUACUAGGUCGAUGGUGCUGGAGGUUGGCUUUGUGUUGUUCCAGGAGGAGCUCACGGUGCCCAAACCAACCGCCUCUCGUGUAGAUGGAGUCAUUUUUCAGUCUGGUUUCCGGCCCAGUGUCACCCGACCCGCAUGCCUAGUUCUCUUGGCUGGACCAAUCAUCCUUCUAGACCAUUUCACAAGCCAUCCGAAAACAAGGCUGAAUUAUUCAGCCCCUCACAUCCAGCAAUAAAAAUAAUACAGCACAUCACAACACUCCAUGAGUGGGGAGAAACUUCUCUGCGUGAGCUGGGCAGCCACUGAUCAGAAACAAACCCUGACGUCAAAUUAACCAAUGGCCUGUCGAAGAUUAGGUGGGCAGAAAUUGUUUGUUGAUACCCCACAAUCAGUUGCCAAACAUAUUACGUGCACUAUGUGGGGGAUAAAGAUUUCAAUCUACGUGAACUAUUGAACUAUGGGCCACACUGUGAACGAGCAAACCUAAACUCAAAAGGUGUUUAAUAGACUCAUCAUGUUGACAAAAUACACAUGUCUUGCUACAUUUCCAACUGCGGCAUGACAGGUUAUCUCUAGUUAUGAUCACACCUCUGCUUAGAAACCAGAGAAAUAUCUUCACUCGAAGAGGAGUUUUGAGCUUCCAUAAUUUAUUGUUAUCAACUGGAACAUCGGUGUGGACAAUCGCGUCGUACUAGGACUUCACAGGGGAAAAACCUUUUUUUGCGACACAAUACAAUCAAACUAAGCAAAAUCAUGUAGGAUCAAGAUGAUGAUCAUGACAUUUCAAUCGUUUGUUUUUUUAUUCCCGCUUUUUCUAUAAUACUGUGAAACAAACAUGCCCUAAAUCAUAGUACAUCCAUACAACAAUAUUUCUCUCCCACCAGGCCACCAGACGUCAUGUCAUCUACUAGCUAGGUCGACGGUGCUGAAGGUCGGCUUUGUGUCGUUCCAGGAGGAGCUCACGGUGCCCAAACCAACCGCCUCUCGGGUAGAUGAAGUCAUUUGUCAGUCUGGUUUCCGGCUCGGUGUCACCCGACCCGCAUGCCUAAUUCUUUUGGCUGGACCAAUCGUCCUUCUAGACCGUUUCACAAGCCAGCCGAAAACAAGGCCGGAUUAUUCAGCCCCUCACAUCCAACAAUAAAAAUAAUACAACACAUCACAUCACUCCAUGAGUGGGGGAGAAACUUCUCUGCGUGAGCAGGGCUCCCAACGAUCAGAAACAAACCUUGACGUCAAAUUAACCAAUGGCCUGUCAAAGAUGGGGGGGGCAAAUAAUUGUUUGUUGAUACCCCAUAAUCAGUUGCCAAACAUAUUACAUGCACUAUAUGGGGGUCAAGGGAAUACUUUGUUUUUGCCACUCUAGUUUUUGCCUACUUUGCUUAUGCCAUUCUAGAAUUUGACUUCUCACUUUUGCCACUCCUACCUUUUGAGAAUACAUCAUAAAUGUCAUUGGAUGGCAAAAGCAAUAAUUUUUUAUUUCAGUUUUGCCACUCUUAGAUUUUGAAAUGUAUCACAACUGCCACUCUGAAAAUUUUGUUUUUGCCACGGAAUGGCAAUUGUGAUAAUUGUCAAAAGCUAAGGGUGGCAAAAGUGAUAUGUCAAAUUCUAGAAUGGCAUAAGCAAAGUGGGCAAAAACUAGAGUGGCAAAAACAAAGUUUUCCCUAAAGAUUUCAAGCUACGUGAACUAUUGAACUAUGGCCCACACUGUGAGCGAGCAAACUUAAAUUCAAAAGGUGUUUAAUAGACUCAUCAUGUUGACAAAAUACACAUGUCUUGCUACAUUGCCAAUUGCGGUGUGACAGGUUAUCUCUAGUUAUGAUGUUGCUGAGAAACGAGAGGAAUAUCUUCACUCGGAGAGGAGUUUUGAGCUUCCAUAAUUUAUUGUUAUCAACUGGAAUAUCGGUGUGGACAACCGCGUCGUACUAGGACUUCACAGGGGGAAAACCCUUUUUCUGUGGCACAAUAUAAUCAAACUAACCAAAAUCAUGUAGGAUCAAGAUGGUGAUCAUGACAUUUCAAUCAUUAGUUUUUUUUCUAUUCCCGCUUUUUCUAGAAUAUUGUGAAACAAACAUGCCCUAAACCAUACUACAUCCAUACAACAAUAAUUCUCUCCCACCAGGCCACCAGACGUCAUGUCAUCUACUAGCUAGGUCGACGGUGCUGAAGGUCGGCUUUGUGUCGUUCCAGGAGGAGCUCACGGUGCCCAAACCAACCGCCUCUCGGGUAGAUGAAGUCAUUUGUCAGUCUGGUUUCCGGCUCGGUGUCACCAGACCCGCAUGCCUAAUUCUUUUGGCUGGACCAAUCAUCCUUCUAGACCGUUUCACAAACCAGCCGAAAACAAGGCCGAAUUAUUCAGCCCCUCACAUCCAACAAUAAAAAUAAUACAACACAUCACAGCACUCCAUGAGUGGGGGAGAAACUUCUAUGCGUGAACUGGGCUCCCAAGAUCAGAAACAAACUUUGACAUCAAAUUAAACAAUGGCAUGUCGUCGAUGGGGUGGGCAGAAAAUUGUCUGUUGAUACCCCACAAUCAGUUGCCAAACAUAUUACGUACACUAUGUGAGGGUAAAGAUUUGAAGCUACGUGAACUAUUGAAUUAUAGCCCACACUGUGAACCAGCAAACUUAAACUCAAAAGGUGUUUAAUAGACUGAUCAUGUUAACAAAAUGCACAUGUCUUGCUACAUUGCCAAUUGCGGCGUGACAGGUUAUUAGUUAUGAUCACACCUCCGCUUAGAAACCAGAGAAAUAUCUUCACUCGAAGAGGAGCUUUGAGCUUCCAUAAUUUAUUGUUAUCAACUGGAACAUCGGUGUGGACAAUUGCGUCGUACUAGGACUUCACAGGGGGGAAAUCCUUUUUUUCAACACAAUACAAUCAAACUAACCAAAAUCAUGUAGGAUCAAGAUGAUGAUCAUGACAUUUCAAUCAUUUGUUGUUUUCUAUUCCCGCUUUUUCUAGAAUCCUGUGAAACAAACAUGCACUAAAUCAUACUACAUCCAUACAGCAAUAUUUCUCUCCCGCCAGAUCACCAGAACGUCAUGUCAUCUACUAGGUCGAUGGUGCUGGAGGUCGGCUGUGUGUCGUUGCAGGAGGAGCUCACAGUGCCCAAACCAACCGCCUCUCGUGUAAAUGAAGUCAUUCGCCAGUCCGGUUUCCAGCUCGGUGUCACACGACCCGCAUGCCUAAUCCUCUUGGCUGGACCAAUGAUCCUUCUAGACCGUCUCACAAGCCAACCUGAAAACAAGGCCGAAUUAUUCAACCUCUCACAUCCAACAACAGAAAUAAUACUACUACAGCACAACAUAGCACUCCAUGAGUGGGGGAGAAACUUCUCUCCGUGAGCUGGGCAUCCAAUGAUCAGAAACAAACCUUGACGUCAAACCAAUGGCCUGUCGUCGACGGGGUGGGUAGAAAUCUUCUUCUAGAUGGCAGGUAGCAGCAGCGGUGGCGCGCCGUCGUCGUCGUCGCAAGUGGUUCGGGCUGAAUGAGCCGGCCGGAGAUUGUUGCCUUGCCUCGCUGCGCUGCUGCCUGCUCGCACCUAUGGUGUGUCCUUGUCAUCAGCUUUUGCCCUUCUUCGCCCACUGGUUUCGUAUGCACACGGUUUUCUCCUGUGCUCUUGCCCAAAAAUGGGUCCUGCGCCAAGUGCGUGUGUGCUCCCACUCCCUCUCCCUCUCCCUCUCGUGGAACUGGUAAUGGAUAAAGGGAAUAUAAUUAUGUGGUUGUGGGGUUGGGUUAGGUCAGGUGCAUACUCCUGCCAUUUGGUUUAUCAUCACUCAUACAUCCGUGUGAUGCUUUUAUCUUUUGAGCUUUUUUUUUCUUUCAAGGCGUUUGCUGUUUGUGGGCAAGCAAACAGAUCGUGGUUAGCAGUCCCAAGCAAGCAUGCAAUGGUGGCAUGCGAAGUGUCAAAGAAAGAAUCUGCUCCUAGCAAGAUGCCAAAUGGCUCCCACAAAGCUUUCCAUUUCGUGCGCCCGGUGCCGUACCAGCUCAGCUGUUGGAGAGGGAAAGCAAGCAAACAAUAGUAGAGCAGUAACCUACCAUGGCGAGAAUGAAGAAUGGUCAGGCGGAGCGCGCGGGCCAAGCAAGCAAUUCGGUUGUGCUGCACGUUUGUUUCUCCCUCCCUCCCUCUUGCAUGCCGUUGCCGCCAACGCAAGUUGCUGCGCUGCAUGGGCGAUGUGCUCCCAACAUCCACACUAUUGCCGAUGCCCUUUGCUUCAUUUGUUUAGUGCCAAGUUGAUUAGGGAUAAAGAGUUGACGGGAGAAUGGGCUCCAAUCUUUUGGUUUCUCUAUGCCUUUGAGCAAAAUUAUUGUCUAUGAUCUAUUGCGUUGUACUGGUUGGUACAGCUACAGCAUUGCCACAUUCCAUUCAGACAGAAUUAUUUCCACUUAAAUCAAUAUACUCUGCUGUUUGUU